rnacentral:rRNA from 1 species
CAGUAGCCGCGGUAAUACGAAGGGUGCAAGCGUUAAUCGGAAUUACUGGGCGUAAAGCGCACGUAGGCGGCUUGGUAAGUUAGAGGUGAAAGCCUGGAGCUCAACUCCAGAAUUGCCUUUAAGACUGCCGAGCUAGCAGGUGAGAGAGGUAAGUGGAAUUCCGAGUGUAGAGGUGAAAUUCGUAGAUAUUCGGAAGAACACCAGUGGCGAAGGCGGCUUACUGGCUCAUACUGGACGCUGAGGUGCGAAAGCGUGGGGAGCAAACAGGAUUAGAUACCCCUGUAGUCCCUGUCUCUUAUAC